rnacentral:snoRNA from 1 species
CUGCAGCCUGUUAAGCUGACUGGGUUCCUUGCCUCGGGGGGCCAGUGUGCAGUGGCUGCAGACAGCAGCUUCCUUGGUAGUGUAUGCAGCCUUUUUCUUGAAUGGGUUGCUCUAAGUGACCUUGGAGACAGGC